GACAGAGGUGCCGAGCGUUUAGGCGGAAUCACUGGGCUUAAAGCGUGUGUAGGCGGGUCGUUAAGUACCUUGUGGAAAUCCCCCGGCUCAACCGGGGAACGGCUGGGUAUACUGGCGAUCUUGAGCCAGCUAGGGGCAACCGGAACAAACGGUGGAGCGGUGAAAUGCGUAGAUAUCGUUUGGAACGCCAAUGGUGAAAACAGGUUGCUGGGGCUGUGCUGACGCUGAGACACGAAAGCCAGGGGAGCGAACGGG
rnacentral:rRNA from 1 species